rnacentral:rRNA from 1 species
GACGAACGCUGGCGGCGUGCCUAAUACAUGCAAGUCGAGCGAAUGAUGAAGAAGCUUGCUUCUUCUGAUUUAGCGGCGGACGGGUGAGUAACACGUGGGCAACCUGCCCUGUAGAUUGGGAUAACUCCGGGAAACCGGGGCUAAUACCGAAUAAUCCAUUUCUUCGCAUGAAGAGAUGUUAAAAGACGGCAUCUCGCUGUCACUACAGGAUGGGCCCGCGGCGCAUUAGCUAGUUGGUGGGGUAAUGGCUCACCAAGGCGACGAUGCGUAGCCGACCUGAGAGGGUGAUCGGCCACACUGGGACUGAGACACGGCCCAGACUCCUACGGGAGGCAG